rnacentral:rRNA from 1 species
UACGGAGGGUGCAGGCGUUAAUCGGAAUUAUUGGGCGUAAAGGGUGCGUAGGCGGCAUGUUAAGUCAAUUGUUAAAUUUUCCGGCCUAACUGGAAGCAAGCAAUAGAUACUGAUGUGCUAGAGAGUGAGAGAGAGAAGUGGAAUUCUCGGAGUAGCGGUAAAAUGCGUGGAUCUCGAGAGGAACACCAAUGGCGAAGGCAGCUUCUUGGCUCAUUUCUGACGCUCAUGCACGAAAGCGUGGGGAGCAAAAGGG